rnacentral:lncRNA from 1 species
UUUUGAGAAAGGUCCAAGUCCAAAAAUUUUUAUUAUUUAUUUAUUUAUCUAAUUAUUUAUUUGAUUAAUUAAUUAAAUUUUUUUUUUUUUCGUAUUUUUUUUAUUAUUUUUUUUGGAUCUAAUUCUGAUUGACAUGAUGAAAUGCAAUAUGAAAUGCUAAAUGAAUGCAUGAAUGAGGAGGGCAAAUUUUGGGGUGUUACAGUUGCC